ensembl:lncRNA
UAUUGUGCGUUUACUCGGUUGCCUUUGUUUUAUGUUGUAUUUCGUUUGAAGAUCUAAAACUAUUCACUAUGAGAUAUACACAGAAGAAAUCAGGGCGGGGCGAAUACUUUUUCACAGCACUGUGCACAUGUAAAGUAAACUUUUUUUCCCCAGAACCUUUCCUUGUGUUUGGCGUGGUACCAUCCAGGGGACUUGUUUCCUACUUUUGAUUGAUAGAGUUCACCUGAGAAGGAGCAUGUACUGUACAUCUAAAAUGAUUUAAAGUACAUCAAUAGUAAUUAGCUUACAGACUAAAAGUUUAAAGCCACCGUUCUACUUAAAAGUUCAGUUCUAAUGGUACUAAAUGUGUACACUUGGAGUUCCCACUCUGGCGACAAGAAAACGUAACGUUUAGUACCUCAGUGUUCUGAGAGGGUACAUUCAGGGUUUUUUACAUUAUUUUAAAAAAAUGUUUUUUUGUUAAACAUGCAGUAGUCUGUUUACUCUUGGACUUUUCUAACUUCUGUACAUAAACAGAGCAGAAAAGCAGCUCGUGCUUUAAUAAACACCGCUUUAAAGGAGCGCGAGCUCUCUGCGCUGAAGUUUGUUCGCGCGCACUCCGAAUAGUCCUGCUUAUUUAUUUAAAGCUAAAUAAAUAAACCCCUUCCUCUAAAUGGUCUCUGAACACACACACACACACAAACACACACAGAGAGAGAGAGAGAGAGAGGGAGAGGGGAGAGAGAGACAGUGUCUCGUGAUACGGAGCGAGUGUCGGCGUGCUUGCCUUACCGCGGUGUGCUCGCGCGGCUCCUCCAGGCUGAGCGCGCGCAGCGUCUCCGUGGAGGACAUGCACGCGGGCAGGUCGGACAGUAGAGGAGACAGGUGCACAGGUGGAUGGAGAGAAGAAGGAACCAGGAACUAGGUCUGCCUUGUCUGGCUCGCGCUCCCUCGCUCUCUCCUCUCUCACACACAUACACGUUCCCCUAAAUUAAACCCGUGGGGCGCGCGCCUUCCUCGCGCUCAUAACAGUCCUGUUAACUCCGCCCUCACUGCGUGUGCCGGCCCCGCCCACAGAGAAUCAGCACAGACUCUUGGCCCGUCGUUUCUCA